UACGUAGGGGGCAAGCGUUGUCCGGAUUUAUUGGGCGUAAAGAGCGUGUAGGCGGCCAGAUAGGUCUGCUGUGAAAACUCGAGGCUUAACCUCGAGAUGUCGGUGGAAACCAUCUGGCUAGAGUCCGGAAGAGGAGAGUGGAAUUCCUGGUGUAGCGGUGAAAUGCGCAGAUAUCAGGAAGAACACCCGUGGCGAAGGCGGCUCUCUGGGCAGUAACUGACGCUGAGGCACGAAAGCGUGGGGAGCAAACAGG
rnacentral:rRNA from 1 species